rnacentral:rRNA from 1 species
AUGGAUAUUGCAAAGCCAAAGGCAGUCUCCCCUAGCCAUGUAUUCUCCCAAAAUCUAGUAGUAUUACCAUUACCAACUAGGAAUUUCACUCGUUGGAAGAAAGUUGCUUUCGUCCUCAUUAAUCCCUUCCAGAAUGGUGAGUCCGUUGGCUUAGCGAUGACUUGGGCCAAAGUCUUAGAUUCUAAGUAUUUAUUCCGCAAGAUUUGUAUCCACAUAUCGUCGGUCUUAGUAGAUAUUCUGUAUAGCCACUUGCUAAGCAGACAUCUAUUUUUGAUCUCUAAAUUUUUGAUCCCUAACCCGCCCUAG